AUGAACGCUGGCGGCGUGCCUAAUACCUGCAAGUCGAGCGAACGGACGAGAAGCUUGCUUCUCUGAUGUUAGCGGCGGACGGGUGAGUAACACGUGGAUAACCUACCUAUAAGACUGGGAUAACUUCGGGAAACCGGAGCUAAUACCGGAUAAUAUUUUGAACCGCAUGGUUCAAAAGUGAAAGACGGUCUUGCUGUCACUUAUAGAUGGAUCCGCGCUGCAUUAGCUAGUUGGUAAGGUAACGGCUUACCAAGGCAACGAUGCAUAGCCGACCUGAGAGGGUGAUCGGCCACACUGGAACUGAGACACGGUCCAGACUCCUACGGGAGGCAGCAGUAGGGAAUCUUCCGCAAUGGGCGAAGGCCUGACGGAGCAACGCCGCGUGAGUGAUGAAGGUCUUCGGAUCGUAAAACUCUGUUAUUAGGGAAGAACAUAUGUGUAAGUAACUGUGCACAUCUUGACGGUACCUAAUCAGAAAGCCACGGCUAACUACGUG
rnacentral:rRNA from 1 species